CGACCGGCGCACGGGUGAGUAACACGUAUCCAACCUGCCGUCUACUCUUGGACAGCCUUCUGAAAGGAAGAUUAAUACAAGAUGGCAUCAUGAGUCCGCAUGUUCACUUGAUUAAAGGUAUUCCGGUAGACGAUGGGGAUGCGUUCCAUUAGAUAGUAGGCGGGGUAACGGCCCACCUAGUCUUCGAUGGGCAGGGGUUCUGAGAGGAAGGUCCCCCACAUUGGAACUGAGACACGGUCCAAACUCCUACGGGAGGCAGCAUG
rnacentral:rRNA from 1 species